rnacentral:lncRNA from 1 species
CUCCCUCCCUCCCUCCCUCCCUUCCUUCCUUCCUUCCUUCCUUCCUUCCUUCCUUCCUUCCUUCCUUCGCUGUGGAGAGCUGGAGCUUCUGCACUCUAUCCUAGUCUUUCUCACUGUGCAGAGAAAACAUCACAUAAACAUAGGGCAGGUUAUAUCUUCAUGAGAAGUUAUAAGGGUUGUGGUUUGGAACUAUCUACUAAUGUUUAUGAAAGUCAUAUAAUUUGAUGCACAAAUGAAAAAAUGAAUGUUGAUAGAAUACAUAGACUUGACAUUAGAUUUUCUUUAAAAUUUUUUGACAGUGAGAUUAUUGUCUGAAAUUCUUAGGGGACUCUUUGGCAUCUCAGCUGAAUCUAAUGAAAUCUGUAUUGCAAAAUAUGUAUUCUCUAGUACAGUUUGAACAAUUAAAUAGAUCGAUAAGCAUAUACCUGUGUGAAUGAUUCUUUGGAAAAAAUUUGCUUGUGUUUAACCUUCUUGUAUGUAAAUUAAAUAUAUUAUUAUUGGCAAA